UGGGGAAUAUUGCACAAUGGGCGAAAGCCUGAUGCAGCAACGCCGCGUGAGUGAUGAAGGCCUUCGGGUUGUAAAGCUCUGUCUUUUGGGACGAUAAUGACGGUACCAAAGGAGGAAGCCACGGCUAACUACGUGCCAGCAGCCGCGGUAAUACGUAGGUGGCAAGCGUUGUCCGGAUUUACUGGGCGUAAAGGAUGCGUAGGCGGAUUUUUAAGUGAGAUGUGAAAUACCCGGGCUUAACUUGGGUGCUGCAUUUCAAACUGGGAAUCUAGAGUGCGAGAGAGGAGAAUGGAAUUCCUAGUGUAGCGGUGAAAUGCGUAGAGAUUAGGAAGAACACCAGUGGCGAAGGCGAUUCUCUGGACCGUAACUGACGCUGAGGCAUGAAAGCGUGGGUAGCAAACAGGAUUAGAUACCCUGGUAGUCCACGCCGUAAACGAUGAGUACUAGGUGUAGGAGGUAUCGACCCCUUCUGUGCCGCAGUUAACACAAUAAGUACUCCGCCUGGGAAGUACGAUCGCAAGAUUAAAACUCAAAUGAAUUGACGGGGUCAAUAGCU
rnacentral:rRNA from 1 species